UACAGAGGUCUCAAGCGUUGUUCGGAUUCAUUGGGCGUAAAGGGUGCGUAGGCGGCGCGGUAAGUCGGGUGUGAAAUCUCGGAGCUUAACUCCGAAACUGCAUUCGAUACUGCCGUGCUUGAGGACUGGAGAGGAGACUGGAAUGUACGGUGUAGCGGUGAAAUGCGUAGAUAUCGUAAGGAAGACCAGUGGCGAAGGCGGGUCUCUGGACAGUUCCUGACGCUGAGGCACGAAGGUCAGGGGAGCAAACGGG
rnacentral:rRNA from 1 species